CACAUGCAGAAGAACUAAUCACCAUUAAAUUGAGAUCAAAUGUCACUGAAAACCAGGUGGAGGCUCUAAGGAGAGAUGGACAAGUCAAACAGGUGGCUUUCUCAGCCUCUCUGUUGGCUUCAGGGUCAGGAACUCUAGGACCAUAUA